rnacentral:rRNA from 1 species
GACGAACGCUGACGGUGUGCUUUAGACAUGCAAGUCGAGCGAGAAAGCCCUUCGGGGUUAGUAAAGCGGCGAACGGGUGAGUAACACGUGGGCAAUCUGCCCCUCGCAGGGGGACAACCGGGGGAAACUCCGGCUAAUACCCCGUAAGUUUCCAGAGUCGCAUGGCUUUGGAAAGAAAGGUAGCUUCGGCCAUCCGGCGAGGGAUGAGCCCGCGGUACAUUAGCUAGUUGGUGGGGUAACGGCCUACCAAGGCGGCGAUGUAUAGCUGGUCUGAGAGGAUGAUCAGCCACACUGGGACUGAGACACGGCCCAGACUCCUACGGGAGGCAGCAGUCGGGAAUCUUGCACAAUGGGCGAAAGCCUGAUGCAGCAACACCGUGUGAGCAAUGAAGGCCC